rnacentral:rRNA from 1 species
CCUACGGGGAGCAGCAGUGGUGAAUAUUGCACAAUGGGGGAAACCCUGAUGCAGCGACGCCGCGUGAGUGAAGAAGUAUUUCGGUAUGUAAAGCUCUAUCAGCAGGGAAGAAAAUGACGGUACCUGAUUAAGAAGCCCCGGCUAACUACGUGCCAGCCGCCGCGGUAAUACGGAGGGGGAAAGCGUUAUCCGGAUUGACUGGGAGUAAAGGGAGCGUAGACGGCAGCACAAGCCUGGAGUGAAAUGCCGGGGCUUAACCCCGGAACUGCUUUGGAGACUGUGCAGCUAGAGUGCAGGAGAGGUAAGUGGAAUUCCUGGUGUAGCGGUGAAAUGCGUAGAUAUUAGGAGGAACACCAGUGGCGAAGGCGGGUUACUGGACUGUAACUGACGUUGAGGCUCGAAAGCGUGGGGAGCAAACAGGAUUAGAUACCCGAGUAGUC